CACGCCUUAAACGAUGGGUACUAGGUGCUGGGCCGUAAGGUUCAGUGCCAAAGCUAACGCAUUAAGUACCCCACCUGGGGAGUACGAUCGCAAGGUUGAAACUCAAAGGAAUUGACGGGGGCCCGCACAAGCAGUGGAGCAUGUGGUUCAAUUCGAUGCAACGCGAAGAACCUUACCUGGGUUUGAAAGGCCAGUGACAGUCCCUGAAAGGGGAUCUUGUAGCAAUACACACUGGUACAGGUGCUGCAUGGCUGUCGUCAGCUCGUGCCGUGAGGUGUUAGGUUAAGUCCUGCAACGAGCGCAACCCCUACAUCUAGUUGCCAUCAGGUCAAGCUGGGCACUCUAGAUGGACUGCCUACGCAAGUAGU
rnacentral:rRNA from 1 species